rnacentral:rRNA from 1 species
GUUGGGUAGGGGAGCGUUCUGUAAGCCUGUGAAGGUGUGUCGUGAGGCAUGCUGGAGGUAUCAGAAGUGCGAAUGCUGACAUAAGUAACGAUAAAGCGGGUGAAAAGCCCGCUCGCCGGAAGACCAAGGGUUCCUGUCCAACGUUAAUCGGGGCAGGGUGAGUCGACCCCUAAGGCGAGGCCGAAAGGCGUAGUCGAUGGGAAACGGGUUAAUAUUCCCGUACUUGGUGUUACUGCGAAGGGGGGACGGAGAAGGCUAUGUUGGCCGGGCGACGGUUGUCCCGGUUUAAGCGUGUAGGUGUGUGUUCCAGGUAAAUCCGGUUCACUUUAACACUGAGGCGUGACGACGAGGCACUACGGUGCUGAAGCAACAAAUGCCCUGCUUCCAGGAAAAGCCUCUAAGCAUCAGGUAACAUCAAAUCGUACCCCAAACCGACACAGGUGGUCAGGUAGAGAAUACCAAGGCGCUUGAGAGAACUCGGGUGAAGGAACUAGGCAAAAUGGUGCCGUAACUUCGGGAGAAGGCACGCUGACACGUAGGUGAAGUGAUUUACUCAUGGAGCUGAAGUCAGUCGAAGAUACCAGCUGGCUGCAACUGUUUAUUAAAAACACAGCAC